CUUCUACAAUUAAUGUUUUUGGUGUGUCCUCUCGUUAUUCUAUUGACCAACAAAAAUGCACGGAUAAUUCUGUAUAGUUUAGAAGAAAGUGCUGAAUAUGUAGAUCCAUUAUUAAAAUGUCCAGCGCUGUUGGAGUGAAACUUUAAUAGUGCUACAUUAGUUACCGUGCAGCAUCGUUACAGCACAGUUCACAAUGGCGCCAUUUUUACUGUGGGCAUUUUGGUUAGGAUGUAAUGAAAUAGU